rnacentral:rRNA from 1 species
AUGAAUGAGUUCCCCCCCCCCCAAAGGAUGCAUGUUGAUUCAUGUAUAGUUUGUUUCCAAGUAGAAGGGUGUUACAAUAGUGUGCUGAAUUUGAUUCCAGAUAGUGGACAUAUCUUCAGGAAGUGUACGAGGAUACUGGAAGCAAUACAGGUUGUACUAACUGAAAAGAUAAUCUUCUACCAUUUGCGCGUGAGUUGUACUACCAAUGCUUUUUUAGCGUCUGCAGUUAGCCUGAAACCAUCGACAUGUUUUCUGAUUCAUUUAACCUUUGAAUUCAUAAUGAAAAUCAAUCUGGGUUUGUCCUCAGAACCAAUCUGGGAUUUUGAUAUCCUACUACCACACAUUUCCUCACGCUAUCGUAGUGAUAAAAAUGAUGCGCACGAAACAAACGUUAUACAGUGUUAUUUUUUUUGCGAAAUAACGUUAUACAGUGUUUGUCUAGCAUCCAUGUGCUAUUUGCACUUAUGCACUGUGAACAACACGUCCUCUUAUCAUUCGCCGGAUAGUGAUGUAAGACUGAGCUUCAGUGCCGUAACUGCAGAUGCAGUUGGGUCAGUGACAUGUGGGCCAGAAGCAGCAGUUAGGCAUCACACCUCCGAAGGGGCAUUGAAAACAAUGAACAGUAUAGUUUGA